CUCGAGAGUUCGAGAGUUAAGUUUAUUGUGUACCGUGCUGGUGGUACGACAUGUACGUAUACCUAUAGUUUGUAUACGCGAUAAAAGAUUUAUCCACGCCAAAAUGAGAUAACUAAAUAUUGUGAGUGGCGAAAUAAAUAUCAACCUUCAUCGGGAACAAGCACAAGAUCUGCGGAAAUGUUUUUGUAUACGGAACUCUGUACAGGUAAAAUUUAAUAGCGGAAACUGAUACGUGCGUAAGUGUAUGUGUAGAUGAAUCUAAUAGACAUUACAAGAAUUGCAAUCCAAUUAAAUACGAUCUAUUGAUUUAAAUAUUUAUGUAGAAAUUUUUAGCAUCAGAGUGGGUGACGUUUGUGUUAAUGUUUUUACAUAAAGUAAAUAAAAUAGAAAACAGAUUAGAAAAAAUAAACAAUUUAUUAUAAAUUAAAAAAAAAAAUGUAGUUGAGUGGCAACAAUAAAAUGCACAAGUAAAGGAUACGGCACAUUUAUUAUCUCUAAUAGUUUUUUUUUCAUUCUGUUUUCUUUUCCUUCCUUUUUCUUUUUAAGCAAUGUUUCGUAAAUUGACAAAUGUUUAUAUUAUGCAUGUUAGCAUUAUAAAACUACAAAUGUGUUAAGAUGAAUUAGUAAAACAUGAAAUUCUAAACGACGCGUUUGACAAAAUACAAAAUAUUUGAUAUAUAUGUUUUACUUCAGUAAAAAUAAGUUUAUCAUUGUAUCGGUCAAUUAUUAUGUUUUCUUUUGUUGAUGAUGAUAGCAAUGCGGAUAUUAUCGCAUACAAUAAAUUAUUUAUAAGUUAAUGAAACGACUAUAAACUGAAUCUCACAUGCAUUAUAAACUUCAAUAAAUUUUGUUAAAAAAAUUAUGCUCUUUAUUUGGGUUUUUUUUUAACGUUAUUACGUUUACAUGGUUAGCCCAUGUGUAAUUAUUCACAAUACAUUGCGCAAGAUUCCAAUUAUGUGUAAGUGAUUUCGAUUCAACCAUAAUGAGAUUACGCGGAACGCACAAGUUCCAAAAAACAAUUCGAUUCUCGUGAUAAUUGCGUAUGUGUGUCAAGUACAUAAAACUAUAUUAAUAAUAUACUUUAAAAAUAUCA